rnacentral:rRNA from 1 species
GACGAACGCUGGCGGCGUGCCUAAUACAUGCAAGUAGAACGCUGAAGGAGGAGCUUGCUUCUCUGGAUGAGUUGCGAACGGGUGAGUAACGCGUAGGUAACCUGCCUGGUAGCGGGGGAUAACUAUUGGAAACGAUAGCUAAUACCGCAUAAGAGUAGAUGUUGCAUGACAUUUGCUUAAAAGGUGCAAUUGCAUCACUACCAGAUGGACCUGCGUUGUAUUAGCUAGUUGGUGGGGUAACGGCUCACCAAGGCGACGAUACAUAGCCGACCUGAGAGGGUGAUCGGCCACACUGGGACUGAGACACGGCCCAGACUCCUACGGGAGGCAGCAGUAGGGAAUCUUCGGCAAUGGACGGAAGUCUGACCGAGCAACGCCGCGUGAGUGAAGAAGGUUUUCGGAUCGUAAAGCUCUGUUGUAAGAGAAGAACGAGUGUGAGAGUGGAAAGUUCACACUGUGACGGUAUCUUACCAGAAAAGGACGGCUAACUACGU